GCCUUUCGUUUGUGGUUGGAUUUUUCGGAUGGAUGGCCGACACGGGCAGGCCUAGCCUGCAACAAAGCCAGUGAGAAGGGAGAGGGAGGUGUCGUGUGAUGCGAGAGAGAAGGCAAGGCAGGUGACCUUCUCAAAGAGGAGAAGCGGGGAUUUGAAGAAAGCUGGAGAGAUGUCGAUUCUGUGUGAAUCUGAAGCUGUUGUUAUCAUCUUUUCUCAAACUGGCAAGCUCCUUGAUUUCUCAAGCUCCAGGUACCAACCCUGUAUGGAUUUUAUGGGAGGCGUCUAGAAAGUUCCAACUUUUAUCUUCAUGUUUAAGAGUCAGAAAGCACGGGAUGCUAAGGAUCGACUUGAACCGGUUGCCUCGCAGGCUCAAAAGAUGAACAACAUUGUUACUGAACAAUGGAUUCAAAUUCAGCGACUUGAGCAGGCUUUUCAUAGUACUCAAGACUAUGAGGUUUCAAAGGCAAGUGAGCUCUAGAAGAUGCACAUUCUUGAAGUAAUAUCCUACAGGAUGAUGCCCAUAUCUUUUGCAGGGAGUCCCAAGUGAAAGAUGAAGUAAAGGGUGUCUUACAUUUCAUCCAGUAUACUUAUAAUAUUUUUGGCUUCUCUUUCGACCUGAAGCUAUCAACACAGACGGUGGUUUUUCUUAUUUUGAGGCUUUUGUUUCCAGGCUGCCCUGUGUACUCAAGGUAAACGGGAGCUACUAUGCUGUUUAUGCAGUAAGGUUCACCAUCAGCUGUAGAUACGAGCAGCAUGGCAAAGUUAAAGUAUGCGUAAAUGGCAAGAGUUUUUGCCUCAACUGGAAAUUGUAGCGUGUGUAACUAUACUGGGACAUGUAAUGAGCAGAAAUGUUUAAGUAGCUGUGGGGAGGAAGAAGUUAUCAAGUUAAAAGAACAAUUUAGCCAUUUGAAAAGUUUGUGGGGAUGACGGUCUUGCGCAAUGUUAGCCGUUCGUGGCUCACCGGAAAACCCCCUGAUUGGGCUUUAUUAGGAGGGAACUCAUAAUGUAGUAGAUAUUCCUCAAUGCAAAGGUCCCAAUCCUAAUGACUUUAUAUUUGAUAUUUAAUCCUUGAAUUAGUGUUAAAUUCUAUAUUCUUUUUGUUUAAUUUGUGCGUGUUUUUUUUUUUUUUUUCUGUUUUCCAAGUAUAAAUGCUGCCGUGGAGCUGCUUAAACAAGGUCUCUUUUCGGUUAUUAAAACUCAAUGUUACCUGCUUUCACUUCCAGUUUUUGAGUCUUCUAUUUGUUUGUUUGCUGCAAUUAUUCAACUUAUGCUGCUAUAAUAUUUGUUUCCUUCUGUUUUGUCCUCUGCAUUAACUACCAUUUGGAUCAUGUGAAUGACAACUUUCAUGUAUAUUUCGAAUAA